rnacentral:lncRNA from 1 species
UUGAAUAGCAGAUGGGGGUUGCUGUAGCUGGAUCUCAUGCUUAGUCGUCUACACUUCCUGCCUGAGACCAAAUCAUAGACGUAAUAGUAUGAGUUGGAGAUACAAUGGUCAUCUUAUGAAUUAUGAUAAGAGUGUCAUAUGGAAAUUACUUGAACCAACUUUACACUAACAGAGCCUUCUUAAUUAAGAGAAGCUACCGUGCGU